rnacentral:rRNA from 1 species
CUCGUAGGUGGCUUUGUAAGUCGGAGGUGAAAGACCACGGCUCAACCGUGGAAACGCCUUCGAAACUGUGAAGCUUGAGGCUGGGAGAGGAAAUCGGAAUUCCUGGUGUAGCGGUGAAAUGCGUAGAUAUCAGGAGGAACACCGGUGGCGAAGGCGGAUUUCUGGACCAGUUCUGACACUGAUGAGCGAAAGCCAGGGGGAGAAAC